rnacentral:rRNA from 1 species
GAUGAACGCUGGCGGCGUGCUUAACACAUGCAAGUCGAACGGAGAUGUUUCGCUGAAGCGAGCUUGCUCAAUUCUUGAGACAUCUUAGUGGCGGACGGGUGAGUAACGCGUGGGUAACCUGCCAUAUACAGGGGGAUAACACUUAGAAAUAGGUGCUAAUACCGCAUAAGCGCACGGUGUCGCAUGACACAGUGUGAAAAACUCCGGUGGUAUAUGAUGGAUCCGCGUCUGAUUAGGUAGUUGGUGGGGUAACGGCUCACCAAGCCGACGAUCAGUAGCCGGCCUGAGAGGGUGAACGGCCACAUUGGGACUGAGACACGGCCCAAACUCCUACGGGAGGCAGCAGUGGGGAAUAUUGCACAAUGGGGGAAACCCUGAUGCAGCGACGCCGCGUGAGUGAAGAAGUAUUUCGGUACGUAAAGCUCUAUCAGCAAGGAAGAGAUACCGACCUUUGGUCGCUAGACGGUACUUGACUAAG